GAUGAACGCUAGCGGCAGGCUUAAUACAUGCAAGUCGAACGAGUACCUUCGGGUGCUAGCGGCGCACGGGUGAGUAACGCGUGGGAACCUGCCUUUCGGUACGGGAUAACGUUUGGAAACGAACGCUAAUACCGUAUAUGUCUUUGGAUGAAAGAUUUAUCGCCGGAAGAGGGGCCCGCGUCUGGUUGGGUAGUUGGUGAGGUAAUGGCUCACCAAGCCUUCGAUCAGUAGCUGGUCUGAGAGGAUGAUCAGCCACACUGGGACUGAGACACGGCCCAGACUCCUACGGGAGGCAGCAGUGGGGAAUAUUGGACAAUGGGCGCAAGCCUGAUCCAGCAAUGCCGCGUGAGUGAUGAAGGCCUUCGGGUUGUAAAGCUCUUUUACCUGCGACGAUGAUGACGGUAGCAGGAGAAUAAGCCCCGGCUAACUUCGUGCCAGCAGCCGCGGUAA
rnacentral:rRNA from 1 species